rnacentral:misc_RNA from 1 species
UACGAUGAUUACUCACGAUGAGUGUCCACACAGAUUGAUAGUUCACAAGCGAAAGCUUGUAGCUAACAUAGCUCUUUAACAAUUUGGAAAGCUGACAAAACAACAAAUUAUUGUUGUUUGUAAAGUUCUCAAUGUUUGUCUUUAUGACAAACACCAAUAAAACACAUUCAAGUGUUCUUGGAAUUUGAGUCCGGCAAAAUCGAGUCUGCAUCAUGUAUAAAAAUUGCAGACAACUUUGGUGAUUUGACUUCAACUCGAAACUCCUUCGGGUUGUAU